rnacentral:misc_RNA from 1 species
AGGCUCUCGCAACGAUGAAGAACGCAGCGAAAUGCGAUACGUAAUGUGAAUUGCAGAACCCGUGAAUCAUCAAAUCUUUGAACGCACAUUGCGCCCCCUGGCAUUCCGGGGGGCAUGUCUGUUUGAGAACCUUGACGUCCCUCACCCCCCCCUCUUGUGCCCACAGCACUAGGCGGGGAGGUGGAUGUGGGCCGACCUCUCGCUAGUCGCGGGGCGGCCUGAAAGUCAAGAUUGGCAUCGCCGCGGGUCCAACCUCCGCAGCGCCGCACAACAAGACGUGCCAGUGAGAAGUCUCUCAUUUAGCGUCGGACCGUGUGGUUUGCGGACCAAGGGUUAGAACCAUCGCUCAGUCUCUGAGUGAGGCUUUGUCAACUCCCUCGUCGCCAGGCGAUACGCUUCACCGCGUGUCGCAUACCUGAACACCUGGUCUCAAAUCAGACAAGACGACCCGCUGA